rnacentral:rRNA from 1 species
AUGAACGCUGGCGGCGUGCCUAAUACAUGCAAGUCGAGAACGGACGAGAAGCUUGCUUUUCUGAUGUUAGCGGCGGACGGGUGAGUAACACGUGGAUAACCUACCUAUAAGACUGGGAUAACUUCGGGAAACCGGAGCUAAUACCGGAUAAUAUUUUGAACCGCAUGGUUCAAAAGUGAAAGACGGUCUUGCUGUCACUUAUAGAUGGAUCCGCGCUGCAUUAGCUAGUUGGUAAGGUAACGGCUUACCAAGGCAACGAUGCAUAGCCGACCUGAGAGGGUGAUCGGCCACACUGGAACUGAGACACGGUCCAGACUCCUACGGGAGGCAGCAGUAGGGAAUCUUCCGCAAUGGGCGAAAGCCUGACGGAGCAACGCCGCGUGAGUGAUGAAGGUCUUCGGAUCGUAAAACUCUGUUAUUAGGGAAGAACACAUGUGUAAGUAACUGUGCACAUCUUGACGGUACCUAAUCAGAAAGCCACGGCUAACUACGUG